rnacentral:rRNA from 1 species
GACGAACGCUGGCGGCGUGCUUAACACAUGCAAGUCGAACGGAAAGGCCCCUUUGGGGGUCCUCGAGUGGCGAACGGGUGGGUAACACGUGAGUAACCUGCCCUUGACUUCGGGAUAACUUCAGGAAACUGGGGCUAAUACCGGAUAGGAAUCCUUGCUGCAUGGUGGGGGUUGGAAAGCUUCGGCGGUUUUGGAUGGACUCGCGGCUUAUCAGCUUGUUGGUGGGGUAGUGGCUUACCAAGGCUUUGACGGGUAGCCGGCCUGAGAGGGCGACCGGCCACAUUGGGACUGAGAUACGGCCCAGACUCCUACGGGAGGCAGCAGUGGGGAAUAUUGCACAAUGGGCGGAAGCCUGAUGCAGCAACGCCGCGUGCGGGAGGACGGCCUUCGGGUUGUAAACCGCUUUCAGCAGGGGCGAAGCUUGUGGUGACGGUACCUGCAGAAGAAGCACCGGCUAACUACGUG